CCUGGAUGGUGUAUCACCAUGCUAACCAUGAUGCCCUCCUCAGUCUCCUCACCAUCUUUCUUCGUCUUCUGCAACCGUCGUCGAUAACUGACGACAAGCCAUCCAGCAAUACAAGGGUCUGCUACUGUAAACCAGAACGCUUGGAAGUGCAAGCUUUACCCCCGGCUGGCCCCGCAUGGUCCUCGGUGUAUGUUCACGUUAUGGAGAUGUCACUUUUCUACACAUAACCUAUCUGGAUCGCUGAUGGUGGGCUCUUCAUCUACUGCUGAGUUGCGGGAUGGAUCGCGGAAGACUACUGGAAGGGUAGACACGGCGCAUCGCACAGAGGACAACGUGAAGACAAAAUAUGUCCCGUUUAUCUUUAGUAUACAAAUAAUACACAGCAGUAAGGGCAUUAGUAACAAUUACCCACACACAAGGUACCUUUGGAACA